rnacentral:lncRNA from 1 species
GUGGUAAUAUUUCUCAUUGAAAUACCGCAUUUUUCUUUCAGUGGUGGCAGAAGGAAACCAUGAAAAAAUCUGCUUUCUGAAAAAUCAUGUCUUGACUCACACAGUGUUUCUGAGGGAAAGCAGUGGAGCCUGCAGAUACAUGGCAAGUGAUUUCCAUUUUACCUGGUGUGUUUCAUGAAGGAAGUUAAG